rnacentral:rRNA from 1 species
CCUACGGGAGGCUGCAGUGGGGAAUAUUGGACAAUGGGGGCAACCCUGAUCCAGCCAUGCCGCGUGUGUGAAGAAGGCCCUCGGGUUGUAAAGCACUUUCAGUGAGGAAGAACGCCUGGUGGUUAAUACCCAUCAGGAAAGACAUCACUCACAGAAGAAGCACCGGCUAACUCCGUGCCAGCAGCCGCGGUAAUACGGAGGGUGCGAGCGUUAAUCGGAAUUACUGGGCGUAAAGCGUGCGUAGGUGGCUUGAUAAGCCGGUUGUGAAAGCCCCGGGCUCAACCUGGGAACGGCAUCCGGAACUGUCAAGCUAGAGUGCAGGAGAGGAAGGUAGAAUUCCCGGUGUAGCGGUGAAAUGCGUAGAGAUCGGGAGGAAUACCAGUGGCGAAGGCGGCCUUCUGGACUGACACUGACACUGAGGUGCGAAAGCGUGGGUAGCAAACAGGAUUAGAUACCCUAGUAGUC